rnacentral:rRNA from 1 species
UACAGAGGUGGCAAGCGUUGUUCGGAAUUACUGGGCGUAAAGGGCGCGUAGGCGGCUUUGCAAGUGGCGGGUGAAAUCCCUCGGCUUAACCGAGGAACUGCCUGCCAGACUGUGAGGCUUGAGACCGGGAGAGGUGAGUGGAAUUCCCAGUGUAGCGGUGAAAUGCGUAGAUAUUGGGAGGAACACCAGUGGCGAAGGCGGCUCACUGGACCGGAACUGACGCUGAGGUGCGAAAGCGUGGGGAGCAAACAGG